UGUUCUUCUUUUAGGACUCUCUGCCCAUCUUCAACCCAAUUUCCAGCCCACCUCUGUGCCUGAAGAACUACUACUCCAGCUGCUUAGGUCCCAGUUCAUAUAGGUGCCCGAAGAAUUCCUGCAAAAUGGAAAGUCAUAAGAUUAAAUUCAAAAGCAGCAUCUUUGGAUUUUAAAUUUCUUAACCCAAAUGUAGAUGUAAAGAGCAAAAAUCUCUAUACCUCAUCAGUUCAGAAGGGAGCUGCUGCAAUCCCUAUAAAUAUAUGAAAGCUCUCAUUGAUUUUAUCUGCCUGCAUCAGGAAAAGGGAUGGUUCUCAGGAGCUGGCCAAGAAGCCAUUGUGAAUCUCUUGUCUGCACAGCAUCUGAUUGGAACUGCUUUUAGAGAAUGACAGCCUCUUCUUCCUUCAGCCUUUCUGAUCAAACAGAAAUGCUUUUUAUUGGCAUACUGCUAUCUGGAACCACAUGGGGGAGGAACAUUCUGAAAAAUGAAGUUCCUGACUUCUCUGCCUUGGGAGAAGAUCUUAGAAAAAGGCGGUGUAUUUAUGAAGAUUUCUGAAUGGUCCUUGAAACCACCAACACAUGAUGUAAAGAAGAAGAAAAAUAUGAUUAUUCUCCACAAGCAACAAUGUUGGAACCCUCUGCUAAUUCCUUAGUGUCCACCCUUAUUUGGCCAGAUGUGAUUGUUCAGGUAUAGGUCACAAAACACCUUCAGAAUUCUGAUUAAGUAUUCUAGAACCUCA